rnacentral:rRNA from 1 species
ACUCAAAUGAAUAGACGGGGGCCCGCACAAGCGGUGGAGCAUGUGGUUCAAUUCGACGCAACGCGAAGAACCUUACCUGGGUUGGAACCCCCCGGAAGUCUCCAGAGAUGGAGAUGUGCCGCAAGGAACCGGGUGUCCAGGUGCUGCAUGGCUGUCGUCAGCUCGUGUCGUGAGAUGUUGGGUUAAGUCCCGCAACGAGCGCAACCCUUGUCGUUAGUUGCCAGCGGUUCGGCCGGGCACUCUAACGAGACUGCCGGUGUUAAACCGGAGGAAGGUGGGGAUGACGUCAAGUCCUCAUGGCCCUUAUGCCCAGGGCUACACACGUGCUACAAUGACCGGUACAAAGGGUUGCAAACCCGCGAGGGCAAGCCAAUCCCAAAAAACCGGCCUCAGUUCAGAUUGGAGUCUGCAACUCGACUCCAUGAAGUUGGAAUCGCUAGUAAUCCCUGAUCAGCAGGCAGGGGUGAAUACGUUCCCGGGCCUUGUACACACCGCCCGU